rnacentral:rRNA from 1 species
UGUGUAGGUGGUUUGCUAAGUUGGGUGUUAAAUCUCUCGGCUCAACCGAGAGGUGUCGCUCAAAACUAGUAGACUGGAGGACGGUAGAGGAAGGUAGAAUUCCGGGUGUAGUGGUGAAAUGCGUAGAUAUCCGGAGGAAUACCAGUGGCGAAGGCGGCCUUCUGGACCGUUCCUGACACUCAGACACGAAAGCUAGGGUAGCAAACGGGAUUAGAAACCCCGGUAGUCCUAGCUGUAAACGAUGUGAACUUGGUGUUGGCGGGGUAAAACCUGUCGGUGCCGAAGCAAACGCGAUAAGUUCACCGCCUGGGGACUACGGCCGCAAGGUUAAA